AGAGUUUGAUCCUGGCUCAGAUUGAACGCUGGCGGCAGGCCUAACACAUGCAAGUCGAGCGGAUGAGUGGAGCUUGCUCCAUGAUUCAGCGGCGGACGGGUGAGUAAUGCCUAGGAAUCUGCCUGGUAGUGGGGGACAACGUUCCGAAAGGAACGCUAAUACCGCAUACGUCCUACGGGAGAAAGUGGGGGAUCUUCGGACCUCACGCUAUCAGAUGAGCCUAGGUCGGAUUAGCUAGUUGGUGAGGUAAAGGCUCACCAAGGCGACGAUCCGUAACUGGUCUGAGAGGAUGAUCAGUCACACUGGAACUGAGACACGGUCCAGACUCCUACGGGAGGCAGCAGUGGGGAAUAUUGGACAAUGGGCGAAAGCCUGAUCCAGCCAUGCCGCGUGUGUGAAGAAGGU
rnacentral:rRNA from 1 species